UACGUAGGGGCCUAGCGUUGUCCGGAUUUAUUGGGCGUAAAGAGCUCGUAGGCGGUGUGUCGCGUCGGCCGUGAAAACCUGGGGCUCAACUCUGGGCGUGCGGUCGAUACGGGCAUCACUUGAGUUCGGCAGGGGAGACUGGAAUCCUGGUGUAGCGGUGAAAUGCGCAGGAUAUCAGGAGGAACACCGGUGGCGGAAGGCG
rnacentral:rRNA from 1 species